rnacentral:rRNA from 1 species
UACGGAGGGGACUAGCGUUGUUCGGAAUUACUGGGCGUAAAGCGCACGUAGGCAGAUUUGUAAGUCAGGGGUGAAAUCCCGGGGCUCAACCUCGGAACUGCCUUUGAUACUGCAAAUCUCGAGUCCGGAAGAGGUGAGUGGAAUUCCUAGUGUAGAGGUGAAAUUCGUAGAUAUUCGCAAGAACACCAGUGGCGAAGGCGGCUCACUGGCCCGGUACUGACGCUGAGGUGCGAAAGCGUGGGGAGCAAACAGG